UGUUGUUUACCUUUUUUGUAGCUGAGAAAAAUGGAAGAAAUACGGAUAUUGACAGGGGUUUUCGCCGCAGCCUGCAUACAGGAACAUUUUUAAAACAUCGAUUAUGACGAGGAAGAAAGUUUAGUGAUUUUCAACAGAUGUCUGAAAUAUUUAAGUCCUCGAAGUCGAUCGUCAGUAUUGAGAUGGUUGUUUGUGCAAAUGAGAGAAAGAAGAAGGCAUCGGAGGGAAGCAUUAUGUGGAUUUGCUGCCAUGGUACUUAGGUAUGCAGACGUUCAAUUUGCAGAGGACUUUCGUAUGAAUCGACAGAGAUUUCGGGAACUGUAUGACUUGAUAGAGCAGCAUCUCGAGGAGCAAUUUUAUUGUGGAAGAGAAUCUAUUUUGCAUAAACUGCUGUUAGCGAUUUGGUCUCUAAGCACUCCAGAAACAUUUCGUGAAAUUGCCCAUCGUUUCGGAUACCGUUGUAGAGGUAUCCAAACUUGUAACUUUCUUACAUACAUACAGACAUACGUCACGAAAGUAAAAUUUUCUUUUUAUCACAUGUAAACAUAUUUUUUUACAUGUAACCAAUUUGUUAUAUUCUUUAAAUUUCGUUAUACACAGGAAGUGCCCAUCAUGUUUUGAGAAAAGUUUGUCGUUUAAUUGUGGAACACAGUGAACUAUUCGUCACAUGGCCAGUCAGAUAUGAAUAUGCAAAUAUUUCAGCGCAGUUUAGGUUCCCUUUUGCUCUUGGUGCAAUAGACGCGACGUAUAUAAGAUUAGCUAAUAAUCCCCAAGAAGAAGGUACAAGCUACAUUAAUAGAAAGGGAUUCCCUGGAGUUUCCCUUCAAGUGGUCUGUGACGCUAAUGACGGAUACUGGACGCCAGCACUGGCUGGCCAUCGUCAAUGCAAGACUCUAGAAUAUUCAGGAAAAGUUUUAUCGGGCGACAUGUUGACAUGCUGCUUGCCGACACAGACUACAUUCUGUUGGCUGAUGGAGGUUACACAUUGCUGCCGCGUGUUAUGAUUCC